UACGGAGGGAGCUAGCGUUGUUCGGAAUUACUGGGCGUAAAGCGCACGUAGGCGGCUUUUUAAGUCAGGGGUGAAAUCCCGGGGCUCAACCCCGGAACUGCCCUUGAAACUGGAGAGCUAGAAUCUUGGAGAGGCGAGUGGAAUUCCGAGUGUAGAGGUGAAAUUACUUAGAUAUUCGGAAGAACACCAGUGGCGAAGGCGACUCGCUGGACAAGUAUUG
rnacentral:rRNA from 1 species